rnacentral:rRNA from 1 species
GAUGAACGCUGGCGGCGUGCCUAAUACAUGCAAGUCGAGCGAACAGACGAGGAGCUUGCUCCUCUGACGUUAGCGGCGGACGGGUGAGUAACACGUGGAUAACCUACCUAUAAGACUGGGAUAACUUCGGGAAACCGGAUCUAAUACCGGAUAAUAUAUUGAACCGCAUGGUUCAAUAGUGAAAUACGGUUUUGCUGUCACUUAUAGAUGGAUCCGCGCCGCAUUAGCUAGUUGGUAAGGUAACGGCUUACCAAGGCAACGAUGCGUAGCCGACCUGAGAGGGUGAUCGGCCACACGGGAACUGAGACACGGUCCAGACUCCUACGGGAGGCAGCAGUAGGGAAUCUUCCGCAAUGGGCGAAAGCUUGACGGAGCAACGCCGCGUGAGUGAUGAAGGUCUUCGGAUCGUAAAACUCUGUUAUUAGGGAAGAACAAAUGUGUAAGUAACUAUGCACGUCUUGACGGUACCUAAUCAGAAAGCCACGGCUAACUACGUG